AUUAGAGCUUGCUUCUAUGACGUUAGCGGCGGACGGGUGAGUAACACGUGGGCAACCUGCCUGUAAGACUGGGAUAACUUCGGGAAACCGAAGCUAAUACCGGAUAGGAUCUUCUCCUUCAUGGGAGAUGAUUGAAAGAUGGUUUCGGCUGUCACUUAUGGAUGGACCCGCGGCGCAUUAGCUAGUUGGUGAGGUAACGGCUCACC
rnacentral:rRNA from 1 species